GCUGCGGAAUUCUCGGCUUUGAGAACUGAAUUCCAAGGGUUGAGGUUUACCGACCAGCCCAUGGACCUCAGUUCUGGAGCUUGGGGUUUCU
ensembl:miRNA dre-mir-146b-1 microRNA 146b-1